GCAGGUGGGCAGGUGGGGCAGGUGGGCAGGUGGGGCUGGCAGGUGAGGCAGGGGAGGAAGAGCAGGUGGGGCAGGUGGGCAGGUGGGGCAGGUGGGGCUGGCAGGGGAGACGGGGAGGUGGGGCAGGCAGGGGAGGUGGGGGAGGCAGAGCAGGUGGGGCAGGUGGCAGGUGGGGCAGGUGGGGCAGGCGGGGGAGGCUCCCUCCCUGGGUGGCUGGGCCCUGGAGGCCCAGGUUCGGGUCCAGGUGCUGCCCCCCACUUGCUGCCUGACCCGAACAAGUCCCUCCCGCGUCAGAGUCCUGUCUGUCCUAGGGCGGCGGCUGCUGGUGGAAGGAGCCAGAAGCUCGCAGGUUCUAAGUGCCCGGGGGGCCUCUGGCCACUGGAGGGCAGCAGAGCCCCAGGGACCCCGAGUCCGAGGUUGGGCCAUCCAGAUGGGGCGGCUGAGCUGGAGCCGUUCCCUGGGCAGCCUGGGUUCCCGUUGUUCCUGGUGGAACCCUCUGGAACCCUCUGGAACCUUCCAGUCUGGCCAUCUCCAGGGCUCACAGCCCCCGCAAGAGACAUCCCAGUGAUUAUUCUCCUCCUUUGGCAGCCCUCAAAGUCCACUGUCGCGGAUGGGGAAACCGAGGCCCGGAGAGGCAGCGGCGCCCAGGAUCCCCCUCGGCCUCUGCGAGCGAGCGAGGCCCAGACGGCCGCCCUGAGGGGCGUCGCAGGUGCGUGCCGUGGGCGGCCACCCCGUGGGGCCAGCAGCCGUCAGACGGGCGUGGGGCCAGGGGGCACUGGGCGGGAGGCGGGACCCGGGAGUGCCCUGGGGGUGCCCAGCCCGGAGCCCCUCCUAGGACCCGCUCCCCUCUCAGGGCCCAGCUGAGAGAGGUGCAGCCUCUGGGCGGGGGGUGGGGCGGGGGGUUGCUAAAGGCUCGGGGAGAAGCAGGUGGGGACGAGGAGGACCGUGGGAGGGGUGGGGCUGAGCCCCUGCUGACCUCCUGGAGCUUGCCAGGGUCAGGCAGCGGGGCCCUCACUGCCCAGCAUCAGCCACACCCCUCCGCCCCCGGCACUGGAAAGGCCUCUCCUUGCAUGCCUCCAGCUCCGGGAAGCUCACCACACCCAGUAGCUCUGAUGGGGGGAACUUCCCUGGGUGCCCUGAGAGCCCUGCCUGAGAGGCUUCCCGGGACACCCCCGUCCCUAGGGCAGGACUGACCGUGAUCAUCAACAGCCCAGCAACCCAGAAGGGCCGAGGGGCUUGGCUGGGCCCCAGCUGGCACAGAUUAGCUGGGGGACUUCCAACUCCUGGCAAGGUCUCCGCAGGUGAGGGAAGGGCGUGGGGAGGGAGGAAGGAAGGAAUGAGGAAGCAGAGGAGGAGGAGGAAAGGGAGGGGGGAGGGAGGAGGACCAGGAUGUCCCGGAGCUCCGUUGCUAAGGGCAACAGCAAUGCAUUGGGAGAAGGAGCCAGAUGCGGAGGCGGGUGGCAGGAAGGGGGAGCUGGGGUCCAGGAGGGUUUGGGGGCAGGGCUUGCCCGGCAGCAAGCACCCCACGGGGCCCUGGUGGCAGCUCCCCACGGCCACGCCUGCUCUGGGCUACGACGAGGGCAAGCAGUGGUGAGGCUGGUGCCCGAGCAGGGCUGGGAGCGCACAAUCCAUCGCUGGCAGCCUUGCCCGGACCCCCUGGGCACUCCGGGCGCCAGCCGGCCCUCUCCUGCUCCCGCCUCUCUGAAGGGAGCAACAUGCAGUUGCAGCAAAAAUUCAAGGUGAAGGUUCUAGACCCGGGAGGCUUGGGAGACUCCCAGCUCCCCUGGGCUUCAUUUUCUGGGUCUUUAAAAUGAGGCAGGGAAUCCCCAGGUGGCUCAGCGGUUUAGCACCUGCCUUUGGCCAAGGAGACCCGGGAUCGAGACCCGGAAUCGAGUCCCGCAUCGGGAUCCCAGCAGGGAGCCUGCUUCUCCCUCUGCCUGUGUCUCUGCCUCUCUCUCUCAUGUCUCUCAUGAAUAAAUAAGUAAAAUAUUUUAAAAAAAGAUAGUAUUAUAAGAAAUAUAAGAGGGGAAAAAUUGAUAAAAGUCGCGUCUUACCUUGCAUUUACUGGGCACCAGGGAGGAGUCCGUACUCCCAUUUUCCAGAUGAACAAACUGAGGCCCAGGACAGCUGGUUAGUGAAAGCACCGGGAACUAAACAUAAAUCUGUAAGAUUCCAAAGCUCUCAACCCCUCUUGGUGUUCCUCCCGCCAGGAUCUCCCUGCUAUUGCCCUUGAGGAACCCUCCUGUGCCAGGAUUAUGUCCCAGGCUCUCAGCUCUGCUCCAAACAACCCGCCUUCCCCACUUUCAGAGCAGAGCCCCUGCUCAGCCCACCAACCUCCUCUGCCUAACCUGCAUGCAGGGUCACGCUCACCCCUCCCCAGGGCAUUCGGGGUCCUAUGACAUGGCCAGUCCCUCCCUCUCCCUGUCCCUGCCACACGCCCGCAGCCUGACCUGUUUGCUUCCUGCCUCUUCUGGAUAGCCCUAUUAUUGCUUAAAACCACCCCAAAAUGUAGUGGCAUCAGACACUGACCAUUUUAUUAUGCUCCUGGGCUCCGUAGUUCCGGCAUUUGUGCAGGUGCAGGGGGGACAGCUUGUAGCUGCUCUGUGCUGUGUGGGGCCUCAGUGGUGCAGGUGAGUUUACACUGGGGUCUGGAGUCACAGGGGGCUCGUGCACUGGCAUGUCUGACCAUCAAUGGUGACGGUGAGCUGGGGGGGGGCUGUUGACAGGAGCACUUACAUGCGCCCAUUUACAUGGCCUGGGUUUCCUCAUGGCAUGGAGGCCUCCACCCACAGAGGACUUCUGGCUUGGUAGCUAAGAGCGCCAGGAAUGAGGUCCCAGCAGACGAGUGGAAGCCACAUUGCGAUUCUGCGACCCAACCUCAGAGGUCCCAGGGUGUCAGUUCUGCUGUCGUCUAUCGGGCAAGGAGGUGGCGAGGCUGCUCAGGCUUCAGAGGAGGAACAGAGACCCAGGAGUCCAGCAGCAGGCAAGGGGACCCUGGAGGGGUGACACUGUGUCUCUCAUAAAUAAUAAAUAAAUAAAUAAAUAAAUAAAUAAAUAAAUAAAUAAAUAAAUAAAAUCUUUAAUAAAAUAAUUUUAAAAAGGUACUUUUGGGAGAAAACCACAUUAAAAAAACAAAAAAGGACAGGACGGCAACGACACAUGUGCCUCCCAGAGGACAUCUGGUCCCCCUCGCUCUUCUCUGGCGCUCUGGCUCCUUCUCCGUGGCCUCUAACUCACCCGAGCUUCCCAGGGCUCUAAUAUUUCCCUGCUGAGGCCCCUCCUGGAAGAGUCCUUGCGGGACUCUUACCUC
rnacentral:lncRNA from 1 species